GAACGCACAUUGCGCCCAUCGGCAUCCCGGUGGGCAUGCCUGUUCGAGCGUCAUGUCAACCCCUGGGCCCUGCCCAGCGUUGGGGAUCUACCGGCCCGCGUAGUCCCUCAAAUCCCGCGGCGGGCGCGUGCGAGUUCCCCCGGGCGCAGUAGAAUCACGUUCUCGCCCCUGCGGGCGCCGCGGUCCCGGCCGUCCAGCACGCUUCUUUCUAGUGGUUGACCUCGGAUCAGGUAGGGGUACCCGCUGAACUUAAG
rnacentral:misc_RNA from 1 species